GACGAAGGGGGCUAGCGUUGUUCGGAAUUACUGGGCGUAAAGCGCGUGUAGGCGGUUGUUCAAGUCGGGUGUGAAAGCCUUGAGCUCAACUCAAGAAAUGCACUCGGUACUGGAUGACUAGAGGACCGGAGAGGAUAGUGGAAUUCCCAGUGUAGUGGUGAAAUACGUAGAGAUUGGGAAGAACACCAGUGGCGAAGGCGGCUAUCUGGACGGUUUCUGACGUAAGACGCGAAAGCGUGGGGAGCAAACAGG
rnacentral:rRNA from 1 species